rnacentral:rRNA from 1 species
UACGUAGGGUGCAAGCGUUGUCCGGAAUUAUUGGGCGUAAAGGGCUCGUAGGCGGUCUGUCACGUCGGGAGUGAAAACUCAGGGCUUAACCCUGAGCCUGCUUCCGAUACGGGCAGACUUGAGGUAUGCAGGGGAGAAUGGAAUUCCUGGUGUAGCGGUGAAAUGCGCAGAUAUCAGGAGGAACACCGGUGGCGAAGGCGGUUCUCUGGGCAUUACCUGACGCUGAGGAGCGAAAGUGUGGGGAGCGAACAGG